AUGUGUUUGGAAGUUGUGAACCUGUCUGAUUGGGAAAGGGUUGGAGAGAGCCUGGGGAACCAGAAACUCCAGACAUCUCUAGCCUCCAAGGGGAUGGAAGAGCUGGAGGUGGGAGCGGCGGCGCAGCAGGGCCCGGGGCCCCUAAACCUGGAUGGGCCAGCGGUGGACCCGCUGGAGGCCAUCUAGUGGGAGCUGGAGGCUGGGAGUGCCCAGGCAGACAGGGCCUACCUGCGGCUGCAGCGCAGGUUUGGGCGCAUCCGCCGUCUGCACCUGGCCCCUAGGAGUUUCGUGGUCCAGAAUAUUCCUGGCUUCUGGGUCACCGCCUUUCUGAACCACCCGCAGCUGUUAGCCAUGAUCAUAACUCGUGAUGAAGACAUGCUCUGCCACCUGAUACACUUGGAGGUGAGGGAGCUCAGGAACGCCAGGGCCCAAUGCAAGUUCAAGUUCCGCUUUUGGAACAACCCCUACUUCCGGAACAAGAUGCUCAUGAAGGAGUAUGAGUGCAGAUCCUUAGGACCGGUGGUGUCAGUUGGAACUCGAAUCCGAGGGACCCGGGCCAGGAACGCCCCGUUCUGGUACACCGGGACACUGUCUGCAGCUUCUUCACCUGGUUCUCGGCAGCACAGCCUCCCAGAGGCUGACAAGGUUGCCCAGAUAUUAAGGAGGACCUGUGGCCCAAACCCCUGCAGUACCACCUGCUGGAGGAUAGGCCCCACAGAGCCAGGAGAGGCCUGGCAAGGUGGCCCACAGAGGCCCCUCCUAGGCUCUACAAGUUCCAGUUUGGCUAAGUCCCUCGCUAGGACCUGGCCCCUACAUAAGACUCCCUUCUACCUGUGCUUAGGCCAAUGACAUAACCCUCUGUCUGCUUGCACUUUCAUGCAUCCUGGCCCCUCUGAACAUUCAGUGGACUCUGAUCCAAGAUUGUGGCCUCCAUGGCCAAGCUCUUCGGUUUCCAUGUGGCCUUCAUGCAUCACAUGCCACAGUGUCUACCAAGCACCCAGUGCUAUGGAUGGGUACUGCCAUCAGUUUCGUGGUCCGGGCCUACCUCUGAUCCUGGCCUUCCUUCCCACCCUUUUUUUUUUUUUAAGUAAGCUCUAUGCCUAUCGUGGGGCUUGAACUCAUGAUUCUGAGAUCGAGAGUCUCAAACUCUACCGACUGAGCCAGCCAGACACCCCCUUCCCACCCAUUUUUGACAUGGGGACCCGCAAGUCAUUGCUAGAAGGACCAGUGCCUCUUUGAGGCCUACAACUUCAAGGCCACAACAUGUUGGGCUCCAUAUUUAUGAGUGCGGAAUAUUGGUUGUGGCAAACUGAGUCUCAUCACCCAAGAAGAAGUAGGUGCGUUUGGUGCUGACUGUCAGUUGGCCUUGGACACUCCAUCCUCAGGGCCUCAGGACUGCAGGACCACAGGCCCAGCUUCCCCAGGCUCCUGGCUCCUGGGCAGCUGGUAGAAUGGUUACACAGCCAGUAGACAACUACUGGGCAUGGCUGAGGUCAAGGGCCGGAAGCAGUGGGCAAGGCAUUUUUUUUUUUUUAAAGAUUUUAUUUAUUUAUUUGAGAGAGAGAAAAUGAGAGACAGCAUGAGAGGGAGGAGAGUCAGAGGGAGAAGCAGGCUCCACGCUGAGCAGGGAGCCCGAUGCGGGACUCGAUCCCGGGACUCCAGGAUCAUGACCCGAACCGAAGGCAGUCGCUUAACCAACUGAGCCACAAGGUGCCCCCAGGCAUUCUUUAUAAUCACACUGCUCUUCUUACUCGUGUUGGUACUACUGCACAGCCUGCUAUCUGCUUCUCAAGAUCUGUGGUACGGUGCCAGUGUCUGAGUUCUGCGGGGGCUGCCACCAACAUUGUUGCCUGCUCCCAGGUCUGUAAGGACCUCAACAACCACCUGCCAAGGCACAAGAAAGCCCCCAACUUCUUAGGAACUCUGGCACGCUGGCAUAACUGGGCAUGUGCUUCAGGCAGGGGCCAUGAUGGGGGGCCCUCCCAGGAGCCUACCUUCCUGAGCCCCAGUCACUGCGCUCACACGGAAUCCAGCCCCCCACCGCCACCCCCAGUCUCUGCCUGUUUUUAGGCUGCCAGGCUGCAGGUACAGGAGGGGUGUUUCUAGUCAUGGGGCCUGCCCAGAUCGCACAUCUUUCUUUUCAUUUUCUUUAGAAUGACAGCUCAGAAACAAAUAAUUGAAGAAGCAAAGUUUUAAAACAGCUAAGGAGGCCGUCUUUCUUAUUGAAUUUGCCCCUCUUUGACCGGCUCUAGAGAAGGAGGGUCGUGCCGUAGACUGCGCCGCUGGGUCUUCGCAGCCUCUUUCCCGUGCCCCGCCCCUUUAGCAAGCACCGCCCCCCUCCCCCCCCCCCCCCCCCGCCGGCGGGGCUAGUUCUUUGUUUUGUUCUGUGCUGUGUUCUUUUAGACCAACUCCUUUCUUCUCCUUCCACCAGGUCCAACCCCCACUGUGGGAUUGUGUAGGUGGAAGAGUUUAGCUGCCUCCCGAAGUCCUCCCUCCGGUAGAAGGCCUUGUCUUUUGCUUCCCAGGACCUGGGGAGGCCUUGACACAAAACACGAUGGCAGAUGCCCUCCGCAGGGGAAUGCAAUGGAAGCAGAGGCAGCUGGGAAGGUUCGGGUGGCUGAGAGACCAUGGGGUGCAGGGAGCAGAGUCCCCUGGUUCUUCUAAACUUUUCUGAUUCACCAAAAUGUUUUUUAAAUGAGAAUUAUUAACCGACCACUGAAACUUGAGAGGUUCUCUUGGUCCAGGUGUGACCUGUGAAUAUGGAAAGUGAAUGCUAUUUUUCAUUUCACUGCUUUUAAGUAAGACCCUAUGCAUCUCCUUCCCCGUUUCUGCCCAGUGGAGACAUUGAGCUGUCUAGGACUGCUUAUUGCUUUUAGUUGAGAACAUUUACAAGAAUGUCCAUGUAAUUUCUCCAUGCCACGCAGUUUGGAGACUUAGGUGGCUAUUCGUGGUGGUGAUCACGUUGUUGUGGCCUGUUAAUACAGCCCAGUACUCAGAAGUAGUAUGAAUAAGGUGGUUCUGUAGGACUUAAAACUGGGAACUGUUAACAUGUUUCUGUCCAGAAAGAAAUCUGUAAGGUCCUGAUGACUGUGUGCCCUGGUCACCAUGAUGUAAUGGGCAUUGCUGUAACUGGUGUCUCUGCCUCUAAACAGAGAAAUGUUCAUGGGAUGGCUUUGUCCAAUCAGAACAGGAUUCAUGGCACUUUUGUCUUCUAUCUGCAUGGUUAAAAAAUAAAAACCUUUCAGUCUGGGGAAAAAAUAACUCAGAUCAUGUUACUCCCCCCUCCAGAAUCCUCCAUUGGCAGAAAAAAAAAAAGUCCUAAUUCCUUAACAGGGCUGACAAAGCCCAGCACUGUCUGGCUCCUGCCGACAUCUCCCAUUGAUCUCCUCUUCACUCACCCCUGCACUCGCCUCUCUGCUGCUUCUUACGGAGCACAUUCCGGCCUCAGGGGUUUACUGCACUUGUCUUUCUCUCUCCGGAAUUUUCUUCCUACAGAUAUUGUCCUCUCUGGCUCCCUCCAUUCUUUCAGGCCUCAGUCAAACGCCACUUCUCCGGAGGCCGUCCCGGCCUUGCCUGUCUGAAGUCAUUCUCUACCUCCUUCCAUCCCUUCUUCCCGCCCCUUAGUGAUUUUCUCCACAUCACUGUAACUCUCUGAAAUGGUCCUGUUUUCCUCUCUUCUCCUUCCUCCUCUGAUGGGGCAGGAGAACAGCGACACUGACGGGUUGCCAUGUGAUGUGUUGUGCAGCUGGAGCAUAUCUGGGAGUGAAAGGGCCACUACUAAGAACGACUCCGGGACAAGAAGCCUGACUGGUACAGGACCGUCACCCCAAAGAGACAGAGAGACAGGAGCCUCCCCUGACGGACACAGGAGCUGGGCCGUCACUGCCCAGCUGAAAAUCUUCGGGCAGGAACAAUGCCUUGUUCUUUGCUCGGCCGGGGCCCGGGACAAUACUCUGACACAUCUGGAUAAAGUCCAGCUUGGCAUACAGCUUACCCCAAAUGUGUGUGAUGGGGGAUCGGAGGAUGGAGACUCCCCUGAUGUUGGGACACGGGAGCUGGGCCUUGAGGCAAAGGCAGCAGUUUAGGUAAGGUGGGGCUGGAUAGGGAAUUCCUGAGGGAGCCAACGGCAUGACCAAAGGCACGGGGAUAGGAGAUGCCCGAUGUGUUCAGGUACCACAGCGGGUACCCUGGGUGCGGCUGCUUGGAAGAGACAACGCUGGAUGGGUAGGGUAAGGCCAUUUUCUGGAAACUCAAACUCUGAAUGCAAAGCCAAGGCGUUAGCCCAUGGAUAGUGGGGAGGGGUAUCAGAGGUGGUUCAGAGGAGGAGAGCUCACAGGGCAGCUGGAGGCAAGGGGAGGGGAGUGUCUGCAACUCCAGCUCUCUAGUAUCUUCAGUUUGACCCUAGGCUGCAGCUCUUCCAGGAAGCCCUCCAAGAUUGCCCUUGCCUGCAACAAUCUCUGCCACCUCCCAAGUGGCAGCCUUGAACCCAAACUUUGGAUACUACUGCCUGGCUGGGCUACCUCCUCUGGGUUUCUCUUUUGUGUCGGACACCUGUUUGUGAUGCUCCCAAGGGUAUCAGAGUGAGCCUCUACGCAUUCUGGUGAUCCUGGAAACUGGUGCCUCAAGUCAUUUGCCUGCCCUGCACCUGGUGGUUGGCAGGUGCACUUUGGCUCUUAGAGGCCACAUUUGGGCCCAGUCACAUGCUGCACAUCCUUAGGCCCUAGACAAUGGUGCUUACCAAAACGGGCAUUUACCUGAUCUUUCUGCUGCAUGGCCAGUGGUACGCUUCUUUCACUCUGUGACUGAUCUCAGCAAGGGGCCAUGCCAGCCGUGUGUCCCAGCCACCCAUCUGGGCCAGGAGUCUUGUCCUCAGAACCCACUUCUGCUUGCUCCCUCAUUCAGAUCCUGAGUCACUCAUUUGUUUAUCCACAUAUUUUAGCAACCACUCCAUAAUGGGCCCUGGGGCACAAGAGGACUAUUCUGAUCUCUGCCCUCAGUGACCUCAAGAGCCCAAUGGUGAGGCCGAAAGCAGUGAUACUAACCACUGACGUUUAGUCAGCACCUACUACGUGCCAGGGGCUUCCAUGGACACAGCAGCCAGAGUGGCUUUCUAGACCCGAGUCAGGCCAUGUCCUUCCUCUGCUCCAAACCCUCCAAAGGCUCCAAUCACAUGCAAGAGGAAAAACCAACGUGCUCCUCACGACCUGCAAAAGCCUCAUGAUCUGACCUCUUGUCACCUCUCUAACUUCAUCUCCUCUGGCUCACUUCCUCCAGAUCACUUUUCUGCAACACCACCUCCUGCUAGUCUUCAAACCUGGCUCAGAAACUUGCUUGCUCUGCCCUGUGCCUGGAACCUUCUUUUCCAGAUACAAGUAUGCAAGGCUGGCUCUUCUAUUCCUUAAGGUUUCUCAGCUCAUCUGUUACAAUUUCAUCUCUUCGGGAAGCCCUCCCUGAUGACCCCUUCUCAAAACUGCCCUGUUGGGAUGCCUGGGGUAACUCCGUCGGUUAAGUGUCUGACUCGUGAUUUCGGCUCAGGGUCGUGACCUCAGGAACAUAAGAUAGAGCCCUGUGACAGGCUCCGCACUCAGAAUGGGGAGUCUGCUGGAGAGUCUCUCUCUCUCUCUCCUUCUCCCUCUGCCCCUCCCCUCAUGUUCGCUCUUUCUCUUUCUAAAAUAAAUAAAUUGCCCUGUCACUCUCCCUCCCUUUCUGUGGUUUGAAUUUUGUUAGAGCACUCACAACCACCUGACAUUAUAUUCAUUUAUUCACUUACAUACCUGCUUUUUUUUCUCCCCUUGUGGGGUCUUGUUUUAUUCACUGCUGAAUACUCCUCACCUAGAUAGCCCCUGGCACAUGUGGGGGUUCAGAAACUCUUUGUGGAAUCAGUGAGUACUUUACACACUCAAGGUUUAGGAGGGUCUUCCGGGUGGGCAAGGGGAAGAUUAUCUCUAGGAAUAGGAACCCUGUGCGGCCAGUGUAGCCUUUUUCCAGGGAGUGUCUGUGCCCAUUCCUGGUCCCUCCUCCAGAGAGAUGGCUGCCUGCCUUACACCUGCUCUAAGAGGGGAGGAGGGGUUUCCUGCUCUGGGGUGGAGAGCAACACGAGCCUCUGACCCCAGGGCUUUGCUCACCUCUGCUCUCAGGAGUCCGCCCUGUUCUGUUGGCCUGGGAAGGAACUUUGGACAAUUUUUACAAUCAGAAAAAUCUGUCCCGAAACUAUAGUAAUUAGUUGUUACCUGUAACUGCCCUGAUUACACUUUGGGGGACUUUGAUUUUUUUCCUCCAAGGACAUGAUUUCAGCACAGAAAUUCAAGGAAGUCUCUGGUAUCUGUUUGCCCUCGCUCAGCAGAACUGAACACUGACUUGGGUCGGUGAACUUUGAGGCCCCCACCCCAUUGCCCCCGCCAUCAAUGCUGACUCAGGAUCUCAAGGCCAUGGGGCUGUGGUGGAGCAGGCACCAACUGGAAGGCUGGUAGGCCUGCGUGUUCUUGAUUCCCCACUGUGUGGCCUUGGGCAUGGCUUUCUGCAGUUCUCAGCCUGUUUCUCAUCUAAAGGAGAACUGGGAAUUCCUUAGCAGAGGGAGAAAUUCCCUGCAAGGUGCCCUACCUCCAUUUACACCUCCAGCCUGCCAGGUGGCUGGCUCAGCAACAAUGCUUCUGGUUGCAUCUAAAAGAAACUCUAACUUUAAUUGACUUAAACUCUCUUUUUUUCCUUACGUGAACAUCCACAGGUGAGAUGGGCUUUGGGGGUGUUUGAGUCAGCAGCUUUAAGGACUUAGACCUCCUUCUCUGAUCUGCCGUCCUUCCUGUUGGUUCCAUCCUCAGCUUGUUGCCAAGAUGGUGGCACUAGCUCCAAGAGUCACUUUAGGAAGUGGCAACUCCAAAGAAGGCUGAUUGUGUCUUCCCAUGGCUUCCUUAAAAUGGAAAAAACCUUUCACAGUAACUACUGUAGACUUUCUAGAUCCUUUAUCUAAUUGGCCAGAACUGGGUAACAUGUCCACUCUUGAAUGCGUUAUCGGCAAGGGGGAACACAAAGCCAUGACUUGCUUGGAACAAGCAUCAGGGGUGAAAUGGAUAUCUGCCCACAAUGUCCAGUAACUUAACUGUCACAGAACAAAGCUCAAGAGUAUUUGUAGGAUUACAAAAAUAUCCAGCACCUAACAAGGUAAAAAUCACAAUGUCUGGCAUCCAAUCAAAGAUUAGCAGGCCGGGGCUCCUGGGUGGCUCAGUCGUUAAGCGUCUGCCUUCGGCUCAGGUCAUGGUUCCAGGGUCCUGGGAUCGAGCCCCGCAUCGGGCUCCCUGCUCCACGGGAAGCCUGCUUCUCCCUCUCCCACUCCCCCUGCUGGUGUUCCCUCUCUCGCUGUGUCUCUCUCUGUCAAAUAAAUAAAUAAAAAUCUUAAAAAAAAAAAAAAGAUUAGCAGGCCUAUGAAGUGGCAGGCAACAUGAUCCAUAUGGAGGAAAACAAGCAAUCAAAACCAAUCCACAACAGAAACAGAUGUCAAAAUGAGCAGAUUAAGGACAUUAAGUUAUAGCUGUAUUUCAUACAUUAAAAAAGUUAAAUAGGGGCGCCUGGGUGGCUCAGUUGGUUAAGCGUCUGCCUUCGGCUCAGGUCCUGAUCCCAGGGUCCUGGGAUCGAGCCCCGCAUCGGGCUCCCUGCUCAGCGGGAGGCCUGCUUCUCCCUCUCCCACUUCCCCCUGCUUGUGUUCCCUCUAUCGCUGUGUCUUUCUCUGUCAAAUAAAUAAAUAAAACCUUUCAAAAUAAAUAAAUAAAUAAAUAAAUAAAAUCUUUAAAAAAAAAUAAAAAAGUUAAAUAUAUUCUCACACACACAAAUGACCCUGAGAUCAAGACCUGAGCUGAGAUCAAGAGUUGGACGCUUAACCAACUGAGCUGCCCAGGGGCCCCUAUGGUCAAAGGAUUUUUUGACAAAGGUGCCAACCAUUCAACUGGGGAGGGACAGUAUUUUCAACAAAUGGUGUUGGGAAAAGUGGGUAUCUACAUGCAAAAGAAUAAAGUUGGACCCCUACCUUAUACCACAUACAGAAAUUAAACUCAAAAUAGUUCACAGACUCAACUGUAAGACCUAAAACUAUGAAGCUCUUAGAAGGAAACAUAGGGGAAAAUCUUCAUGACAUUGGAUUUGGAAAUGAUUUCUCAGAUGUCACAACAGAAGCACAGGCAACAAAACAAAUAGAUAAAAUGGGCUUCAUUAAAAUUGAACUUUUGUGCAACAAAGGACAUUAUCAACAGAAGGGACAGAGAACCCAGAGUAUGGGAGAAAAUAUUUUGAAAAUCACAUAUCUAACAAGGGAUUAAUAUCCAGAAUAUUUAAAGAACUUCUUUAACUAAACUAAAAAAAUGGGCAAAGGACAUGAAUAGACAUUUCUCCAAAGACAUACAAAUGGCCAAUAAGCACAUGAAAAGAUGGGCAAUAUCACUUAUCAUUAGAUAAAUACAAAUCAAAAACACGAGACAUCACUUCACACCCACAAGGAUGGGUAUUAUAAAAAAACAGAAAAAUAAGUGUUGGCGAGGAUAUGGAGAAAUUGGAAUUUUCAUAAUGAGAAUGUAAAAUGGUGUGGCCACUGUAGAAAACAGUAUGGUGGUUCCUCAAAAAAUUUAACAUAGAAUUACCACAUCAUCCAGCAAUUCUACUCCUAGGUAUAUAUCUCCAAAGAAUUGGAAAGCGGGGAUUUGAACAGAUAUUUGUAUACCAAUGUUCAUAGCACCAUUAUCCACAAUAGCCUAAAGAUGGAAGAACCCAAAUGUCCACUGGUGGACAAAUUGAUAAAGUGUGGUAUAUACAUACAAUGGAAUAUUACUAAGCCUUAAAAUGGAGUGAAAUUCUGAUACAUGCUACAAUGUAUAUGAACCCUGAAGACAUGCUAAGUAAAAUAAGCCAGACACAAAGGGACAGAUAUUGUAUGAUUCCACUAAAGUAGUCAAAUUCAGAGAUAGAAAGUAGAAUAGUGGUCACCAGGGGCUGCAGUGGGAAGAGAAUGAAGAGUCAGUGUUUAAUGAGUACAGAGUUUCAGUUUGGGAAGAUGAGGAAGUUCUGGAGAUGGCUAGUGGUGAUGGUUGCACAAUAUUAUGAAUGUACUUAAUGCCACUGAAUUGUACACUUUAAAAUGGUUAAAAUGGUAAAUUAUUGUAUGUUACACAUAUUUUACACAAAAAGUUAAGUAGACAUAUGGAAGAUAUAAAAAAAAAAACCCACUUAAAUCAAGUUUCUAAAGAUUAAAAAGGCAAUGUCUGAGAUGAAGACCAUACUGGACGGGAUUAAUGGCAGAGCAGACAUGACAGAAGAUUAGUGAAUUUAAAGGCACAGCAAAAGAAACUAUCUAAAAUGAAACACAGAAAAAAGAAUUAAAAAAUAAAAGAGGCUCAAUGGGCAGGUAUUAGUGGUGAGACAACUUCAAGCAGCCUAACAUAUGGGCAAUUAGAAUUGCUGAAGGAGAGACAAAGGGGACAGAAAAAAUAUUCAAAGAUAUAAUGGUAUAAAAUUUUCUGAACUUACUGAAAAUAAACACACAGUUCUAAGAAGCUCAAUGUACCCUAAGCAUAAGAAAUAUGAAGACUCACCAAUGCAUCCGUAAUUGAAUAGCUCAAAACCAGUGACAUAGAAAAAGCAGUCAGAGAAAAGAGACUUGUUACAUACAGAGGGGACAAAGAUAAGGACAUCAGAUCUGUUGUUGGAAGCAAGGCAAGCAAUAAAAGACAGUGGAGUAACAUCUUUAAAGUACUAGGAAAGGGGGAAAAAAUUUGUCAACCUAGAAUUCUAUACCCCGCAAAAAUAUCUUUCAAUAACAAAGGUAAAAUUGAGAUGUUUUAGACAUAUAAAAGCUAAAAUAAUUAAUCAUCAGCAAAUCUUCACUAUGAGAAUUGUUGAAGGAUGUCUUUCAGGCAGAUGGAAAAUGAUACCAGAUGAAAAUCUGGACCUAUACAACAGAAUGAAGACCACUGGAAAUGGUACCUACCUGGGUACUUACCUAAGAUUUAUUAUUAUUCAAAUUCUUUAAAGACAACUGCUUAAAUAAAAAUAGCAACAGUAUACUGUGGGAUUUAUAAAGUAAAAAGAAAUGAUAACCAUAACAUGAAGGCUAGGAAGGGAGAAAUGUAAGUAUACUAUUUUAAAGUUCUUAUACUAUAUGUAAAGUGGUUUAAUAUUACUUGAAGGUAGACUGUGGUAAGUUAAAGAUAUAUAUACAAGCCCUAAAGUAAUCAUUAAAAUAUCAAAACAAGAGGGUAUAGCCAGUAAGCCAAUGAAGGAGAUUAAAAUACAGUAGGGUUGCCUGGCUGGCUCAGUUGGUAGAACAUGUGACUCUUGAUCUUGGGAUCAUGAGUUCAAGCCCCAUGAUGGGCGUAAAGCUUACUUAAAAAAACAAACAAAUAGUAUUCCCCCUUUAUCCGUGGGGGAUACAUUCCAAGACCCCCACUGGAUACCUGAAACCCAAGAGAGUACUGAACACUAUAUAUACUAUGUUUUUUCCUUACACAUACAUACCCAUGAUAAAAUUUAACUUAAAAUUAGACACAGUAAGAGAUUAAUAAUAAAAACUAAUAAUAGAACAAUUAUAACAAUAUACAGUAAUAAAUUUAUGUGAUUGCAACCUCACUUCCUCUCAAAAUACCUUAUUGUCCUGUACUCACCUUUCUUCUUGUGAUAAUGUGAAAUGAUAAAAUGUCUACAUGUCAAGAUGAAGUGAGGUGAAUAACGUAGGCAUUGUGAUGUAGCAUUAGGCUACCAUUGACCUUCUAAUGAUAUGUCAGAAGGAGGAUCAUCUGCUUCCAGACCAUGGUUGAUUGCAGGUAGCUGAAACUGUGGAAAGUGAAGUCACAAAUAAGGGGGGACCACAGUACGUGACUGUCCAAAGGAAGGCAGAAAAAGAAGAAAAAGGAAACAACAGAUGGGACAAAUAGGAAACAACUGGCAAGAUUAGAGACUUAAACCUAGCCAAAUCAACAAUCACAUGAAAUGUAAAUAAUCUAAGUAUUCCAUUUAAAAAGCAAAGAUUACAAGGUUGGGUAGAAAAGCAAGACCAAAACUAUAUGCUGCCUAUAAAGAAACCCUUUAUUUUAUUAUUUUAUUUUUAUUAUUUUUUUAAAAGAUUUUAUUUAUUUAUUUGAGAGAGAGAGACACAGCGAGGGAGGGAACACCA